rnacentral:rRNA from 1 species
UUUCCAGACUCCUACGGGAGGCAGCAGUGAGGAAUAUUGGUCAAUGGACGAGAGUCUGAACCAGCCAAGUAGCGUGAAGGAUGACUGCCCUAUGGGUUGUAAACUUCUUUUAUAAAGGAAUAAAACGAGGCACGUGUGCCUUUUUGCAUGUACUUUAUGAAUAAGGAUCGGCUAACUCCGUGCCAGCAGCCGCGGUAAUACGGAGGAUCCGAGCGUUAUCCGGAUUUAUUGGGUUUAAAGGGUGCGCAGGCGGAUUUUUAAGUCAGCGGUCAAAUCGUGGGGCUCAACCCCAUCCAGCCGUUGAAACUGGGGAUCUAGAGUGUGCGAGAGGUAUGCGGAAUGCGUGGUGUAGCGGUGAAAUGCAUAGAUAUCACGCAGAACCCCGAUUGCGGAGGCAGCAUACCGGUGCACAACUGACGCUCAGGCACGAAAGCGUGGGUAUCGAACAGGAUUAGAUACCCCUGUA